AGCAGCCGCGGUAAUUCCAGCUCCAAUAGCGUAUAUUAAAGUUGUUGCAGUUAAAAAGCUCGUAGUUGAAUUUCGGGGUUAGUAGGUUGGUCAUGCCUCUGGUAUGUACUGGUCUCACUGAUUCCUCCUUCCUGAUGAACCUUAAUGCCAUUAAUUUGGUGUUUUGGGGAAUUUGGACUGUUACUUUGAAAAAUUAGAGUGUUUAAAGCAAGCUAACGCUUGAAUACAUUAGCAUGGAAUAAUGAAAUAGGACGUUCGAUCCUAUUUUGUUGGUUUCUAGGUAUUGACGUAGUGAUUAAUAGGGAUAGUUGGGGGCAUUAGUAUUCAAUUG
rnacentral:rRNA from 1 species